GCGUCCUACGGGGGGCAGCAGUGGGGAAUAUUGCACAAUGGGGGAAACCCUGAUGCAGCGACGCCGCGUGAGUGAAGAAGUAUUUCGGUAUGUAAAGCUCUAUCAGCAGGGAAGAAAAAAGACGGUACCUGACUAAGAAGCCCCGGCUAACUACGUGCCAGCAGCCGCGGUAAUACGUAGGGGGCAAGCGUUAUCCGGAAUCACUGGGUGUAAAGGGAGCGUAGACGGCUGUGCAAGCCUGAAGUGAAAGGCGGGGGCCCAACCCCUGGCCUGCUUUGGGUCCUG
rnacentral:rRNA from 1 species